UACGAAGGGUGCAAGCGUUAAUCGGAAUUACUGGGCGUAAAGCGUGCGUAGGUGGUUGUUCAAGUCUGUCGUGAAAGCCCUGGGCUCAACCUGGGAAUGGCGAUGGAAACUGGGCGACUGGAGUGCGGUAGAGGAUGGCGGAAUUCCCGGUGUAGCGGUGAAAUGCGUAGAGAUCGGGAGGAACAUCCGUGGCGAAGGCGGCCAUCUGGACCAGCACUGACACUGAGGCACGAAAGCGUGGGGAGCAAACAGGAUUAGAUACCCUGGUAGUCCACGCCCUAAACGAUGCGAACUGGAUGUUGGUCUCAACUUGGAGAUCAGUGUCGAAGCUAACGCGUUAAGUUCGCCGCCUGGGGAGUACGGUCGCAAGACUGAA
rnacentral:rRNA from 1 species